UCGAGGAUCUUCGGCAAUGGGCGCAAGCCUGACCGAGCGACGCCGCGUGUGCGAUGAAGGCCUUCGGGUUGUAAAGCACUGUCGAGGGGGAGGAAAGCCCGCAAGGGUCUGACCUAUCCCUGGAGGAAGCACGGGCUAAGUUCGUGCCAGCAGCCGCGGUAAGACGAACCGUGCGAACGUUGUUCGGAUUCACUGGGCUUAAAGGGCGCGUAGGCGGGCCAUCAAGUCAGGGGUGAAAGCCUCCCGCUUAACGGGAGAAGUGCCCCUGAUACUGGUGGUCUGGAGGAAGGUAGGGGCAUGUGGAACUUCCGGUGGAGCGGUGAAAUGCGUAGAUAUCGGAAGGAACGCCGGUGGCGAAAGCGACGUGCUGGACCUUUUCUGACGCUGAGGCGCGAAAGCUAGGGGAGCAAACGG
rnacentral:rRNA from 1 species